UGAGGAAUAUAGCACAAUGGGGGAAACCCUGAUGCAGCGACGCCGCGUGAACGAAGAAGGUAUUCGUAUAGUAAAGUUCUGUCCUAUGGGAAGAUAAUGACAGUACCAUAGAAGAAAGCUCCGGCUAAAUACGUGCCAGCAGCCGCGGUAAUACGUAUGGAGCGAGCGUUGUCCGGAAUUAUUGGGCGUAAAGGGUACGCAGGCGGUUUAAUAAGUCGAAUGUUAAAGAUCGGGGCUCAACCCCGUAAAGCAUUGGAAACUGAUAAACUUGAGUAGUGGAGAGGAAAAUGGAAUUCCUAGUGUAGUGGUGAAAUACGUAGAUAUUAGGAGGAGUACCAGUAGCGAAGGCGACUUUCUGGACACAAACUGACGCUGAGGUACGAAAGCGUGGUGAGCAAACAGG
rnacentral:rRNA from 1 species